rnacentral:rRNA from 1 species
AUGCUUUUCCUAAAGAUUAAGCCAUGCAUGCCUAAGACUAUGAGGAAGCAAUUCUCUCUGAAUCUGCGAACGGCUCCGCAAACCAGUUGUAAACCAUAGCAGCGUUCCGCCCGGCUUCAGCAAUGGAGCCGGGCAUUAUAUGGAUAACCGUGGUAAUUCUGAGGCUAAUACAUGACACACAACCUGCCGGGCUGGGGGCAACUCCGGCUAGGUGGGGGACGUGCAAAAUCACAUUGCUAUAACAAAACCACGAAUGAAUG